rnacentral:rRNA from 1 species
UACGUAGGGUGCAAGCGUUGUCCGGAAUUAUUGGGCGUAAAGAGCUCGUAGGCGGUUUGUCGCGUCUGCUGUGAAAUCCCGAGGCUCAACCUCGGGCUUGCAGUGGGUACGGGCAGACUAGAGUGCGGUAGGGGAGAGUGGAAUUCCUGGUGUAGCGGUGGAAUGCGCAGAUAUCAGGAGGAACACCGAUGGCGAAGGCAGAUCUCUGGGCCGUAACUGACGCUGAGGAGCGAAAGCAUGGGGAGCGAACAGG